AGUGAACGCUGGCGGUAGGCCUAACACAUGCAAGUCGAACGGCAGCACAGUAAGAGCUUGCUCUUACGGGUGGCGAGUGGCGGACGGGUGAGGAAUACAUCGGAAUCUACUUUUUCGUGGGGGAUAACGUAGGGAAACUUACGCUAAUACCGCAUACGACCUACGGGUGAAAGCAGGGGAUCUUCGGACCUUGCGCGAUUGAAUGAGCCGAUGACGGAUUAGCUAGUUGGCGGGGUAAAGGCCCACCAAGGCGACGAUCCGUAGCUGGUCUGAGAGGAUGAUCAGCCACACUGGAACUGAGACACGGUCCAGACUCCUACGGGAGGCAGCAGUGGGGAAUAUUGGACAAUGGGCGCAAGCCUGAUCCAGCCAUACCGCGUGGGUGAAGAAGGCCUUCGGGUUGUAAAGCCCUUUUGUUGGGAAAGAAAGGCAGCAGGUUAAUACCCCGCUGUUCUGACGGUACCCAAAGAAUAAGCACCGGCUAACUUCGUG
rnacentral:rRNA from 1 species